GACGAACGCUGGCGGCGUGCCUAAUACAUGCAAGUCGAGCGGACAGAUGGGAGCUUGCUCCCUGAUGUUAGCGGCGGACGGGUGAGUAACACGUGGGUAACCUGCCUGUAAGACUGGGAUAACUCCGGGAAACCGGAGCUAAUACCGGAUAGUUCCUUGAACCGCAUGGUUCAAGGAUGAAAGACGGUUUCGGCUGUCACUUACAGAUGGACCCGCGGCGCAUUAGCUAGUUGGUGGGGUAAUGGCUCACCAAGGCGACGAUGCGUAGCCGACCUGAGAGGGUGAUCGGCCACACUGGGACUGAGACACGGCCCAGACUCC
rnacentral:rRNA from 1 species